rnacentral:rRNA from 1 species
UACAGAGGUCCCAAGCGUUGUUCGGAUUCAUUGGGCGUAAAGGGUGCGUAGGCGGCGCGGUAAGUCGGGUGUGAAAUCUCGGGGCUUAACUCCGAAACUGCAUUCGAUACUGCCGUGCUUGAGGACUGGAGAGGAGACUGGAAUUUACGGUGUAGCGGUGAAAAUGCGUAGAUAUCGUAAGGAAGACCAGUGGCGAAGGCGGGUCUCUGGACAGUUCCUGACGCUGAGGCACGAAGGCCAGGGGGAGCAAACGGG